rnacentral:lncRNA from 1 species
CGAUGUUAGCCAAUCAUGCGAGAGCUUAUUUCCUUUCCUGCGUCAGCUGUGAAGAAAUGUGAUUUAUACAGUGAUAGUCUUUCGCAGAGGAACGGCCAACUGGUCGUUUUAAUGCUAAGCAGUAGGACGGCAGGGGGAGUGACAAAAGCCGCUAUGGGACAAUCAUAGCUAGGCGUCCUCUAAAUUCACAUUGAUCGUCCCGCCAGCUAAGGAUUUUCUUCGGCCGUCCAAAGCCACAAGUGACUGACUAAAACCGGAAAGCAAGAUGAACAGAAGGAAAAAACGAAGCUUCUGAAUAAUCAAAAUAGAUCAUAUAUGUUUUAGAAGCGUGACGAAUAAAUAAAAAUUUAGUGACAGUAUGAGUAAAAGGUCGUUACGAGUACGAAUAGGGAGCACGGUAACUUCAGUGGCCACUACCUAGAUGUCGAAAAACUACGAGAUGCUAACACAGCCGCGGUGAUUUUCACAUGAGGAUUAUGUUACAAAGUUAUUGAUCAGCCGUAAAGUUCUAAUAUUCUGCUUUAUAGUAUACAUGCGUUGUCCUACCAAGUGAUUGAACCUACUACAGAUAUCUUUCGACACUAGAAAACGACUAGAAGCAUCAGCCUGCGGACGCACCCAUUGUAGUUGUCGGGCGACUGGCGUCGGAAGGAGGGAGUAAGGGGUGAAUACAGACAGAAUACAGUUGAAUAUAGCCAUCGAUUCUGGCUGAGCAUGUGAUGAUGCAACGGAACGAUACUGUUUGUGCUUGCUAGUUCAUACGUCCCACGAGUGUUUAUCAUAGUAGAAACGCUGAACCAACGAAAAUUGACUGCUGUUAUUGAUGCGUAGCGCAUAAUAGUCAUAUUGUGUGUAUCCGAGUUAACCUUAGGAACCUGGUCUUGUGUAGGUCGAUAAAUAUGACAAAGCUAAACGGCCGUAACGGCGCAGGUCACGCUGGAGCAGCUGAACGAUUCGUGUACGUACGUGUGUUCUGUCUAUGGGAUGAGUGGUCAUGAACUGAGUGCGGUCGUUGAGCCCUCAGCUAUGAUGAAAGUUGAAAGGGUUGCAAUUAACGCGUAGGAUCCUUUUCUUGUAGCAAUUGAUGGCUUAAAUAUGAGUGAAAAAAUUUUAGGCUUAUCCGAAUUUUUUCAUGAUUUAUUUAUUAUUACCUUAUUUAAAAAGGUUUUUAAAAUUCAUUUUUGCAGAGAUAAUCUGUGAAUCGUAGAAAGUCAUUCUGUUAUUUAUUCCUUCUUUUGUAUUUUGUUAUUCAUUGUUCCACCGGGUUAAGAUUACUAUCUUAUUGGAAUUUUUGCCGGCAGUGGCGGUAUGAAAAUGGAUUUGGGCGACGAUUUCUGCAAGAUUUUUUUCUUUAAUCGGAAAUUCAAAUAUAUAUAUAUAUAUAUUUGAAUUUUCAUUAAUUCAAUCUAUUAGCCAACUAAACAUUAAACAGUCAAACUAAAGAUUUUUUUUUUACGAAAUUUUGGACCUUUUACGAAAUGGAGCACUUUUGAAGUUGGCUGUCAUUAUUUCUGAAUUGGCAGCUUGUCAUUAUUACCAUCACUAGAUCGUUCAGUGACUGUAAUAUAUUUCACAUAUGCAACACUCCCAUAGAUCUCUUCAAGCCGCAGAACUUUUUUGCACAUUUCUCCUUUACUCAAUCAACCAUUUCUUUUUCCGCCCAAUAUCUACAUAAAUGUGCAUACACACAUAUCGACGCUAACUUAUCCGUCACGUUUCGCGUCCUGCAUCGUUUUUCGAGGAGCACUUUGUUCCCCCUCAGAGUCUGUAGCCCCCAGGGCCUCUCUUGGCAGGUUCCUGGAGCUCCAAGAGGACGUCGAGGUAGAAACUACAUUGCACCAUAACACUCCCAUAAGCAUGAGCCACCACUGGCUGCUGCUGCUGGCGUUCCCGGCGCACUCACUGCUAUUACGUGCACUGAAUACCCACCUAUACACCCCACCGAAGUUACCCUGUCAGCAGUAGAAGCCGCAUGCCCGCUACUAGCUAGUAAGCAGCGGCAGCGGCGCUGCCGCUGCAAUGGGGUCGAGUUGCCCAACUAGACCUCGUUCACCUCGUUCUCCAAGCACUUCGUGGUAGCGCGCUUCGACUUGUCCCAAGUUGGCUCAGUGGCUCACAUGUUCCCUACUCUAGACUCGACCCCGGAAACGACGAUUAGAGCUACGGUAAGCGCACACUAAUUUCUACGCAGCGCGUCGAAGCCUAAAUCCUCUCUGGUGUUUUGCUUGCCGCUCUAGUAAAAGUACUUAGCGCGUUUGAACACCCUCAACCCGUUUCCACUGUGUGGGCUCGGACGUCGACGUUAUUCCAUACCGUUCGCUGCAGGCGAAUUUUGAGGGCGCUUGUCAUGCAGCUAGCAGUGUUCGAAUUAACAGCAAUUGAGCGCCAUGCGUACCGGUACUUAAUAAUUCACGAGUACUUGAGCAGCGGCGACGACAAAAGGGCAAACGGGCGCAGGACUACCCAGUCAUGGUCCCCUGUUGGCGAUGAAGCAGGCUUCGACUACACUUAGGGACCGUUGAAUCAGCUCCCCGAACGAAAGCAGCUCGUUAGCAAUGUUGACGUCCUCGAACAGCGUAGAGGACCUGCGACGAUGAGUAGAAUCCUGUCUUUUAACAGAUAUAUCCCAAAUAGACCAACAAACGUUGAACGACAUUGAGGCACAUGAGCUCCUUCAAGAACAGAUUCUGGAGAGCAAUGCCCUAUAUCAAGUUAAAGGGAUGGAGGGAGGAGCAACUCUAAAGAAACGCAUAGCGACGAUACAAUAUCUUUUGUCAUUUCGAGCUGUCGGUGGUACGAUGACAGCACCGAAGAUCUCCAUGUCGUCUUCAACCCACGUGGUCUGCUGCCUGCUGCCGACUUCAAUGAAGAGUUCCCUGUAUAAAGAGAAGAUCUACUGGAGGCAAACCAUUCUCUCUCUCCCGAGGGCGGACCUACGCUUGCCUGCUCGCCCUCCUCCGCAGAGGACCUCACCCGAUGGAACUCCACAGCUCGCUACGCUCCGUACGUAUAACGUUAGGCACGGCUCCACCCGUCACAGCGUGAAGCCACUUUCGACGGACGUCAACCGCAGCAGCUAUGCGGCAUCUGCAGGCGUAAUUCGUAUUAGCGUUGACGUGCCGCAAAAACCCUUCUUCAAAGCGAGUAGGACAAAUUAAGCAAUGGAAGUAACAACGAGUGGUGAUACUAGCCCCCCGAAUCAUACGACUAUAGCCGUUGAAUACACGUCUUUCGACUUUGGGAAAAAAUAUAUCACUUAGAGUUCAUGAUCAAGUUUUGCCAUUGGAAUACACUUAUACGUAAUGAGUCAUUAAUGUAUCUGUAAAUACGCCCGCUUGUAAGAGUCAGCAGGUUUUUUC